rnacentral:rRNA from 1 species
CAAGUCGAGCGAGCUUGCCUAGAUGAAUUUGGUGCUUGCACCAAAUGAAACUAGAUACAAGCGAGCGGCGGACGGGUGAGUAACACGUGGGUAAACCUGCCCAAGAGACUGGGGAUAACACCUGGAAACAGAUGCUAAUACCGGAUAACAACACUAGACGCAUGUCUAGAGUUUAAAGAUGGUUCUGCUAUCACUCUUGGGGUGGGACCUGCGGUGCAUUAGCUAGUUGGUAAGGGCAACGGGCUUACCAAGGCAAUGAUGCAUAGCCGAGUUGAGAGACUGAUCGGCCACAUUGGGACUGAGACACGGCCCAAACUCCUACGGGAGGCAGCAGUAGGGGAAUCUUCCACAAUGGACACAAGUCUGAUGGAGCAACGCCGCGUGAGUGAAGAAGGGUUUCGGCUCGUAAAGCUCUGUUGGUAGUGAAGAAAGAUAGAGGUAGUAACUGGCCUUUAUUUGACGGUAAUUACUUAGAAAAGUCACGGGCUAACUACGUGCCCAGCAGCCGCGGGUAAAUA